rnacentral:sRNA from 1 species
AUCGAUUUUAUGUGAUCCAGGUUGUGGACAAAAUCCCGUCUAAUUGCUGUACUGUAUUGGACACAUGUUUAGUGUCUUUCAUUCACGUUAAAGGUAAGUUUGAUGUCUAAGAUUAAAGGUAGCGUUAAGUGGUUUAAUGAAUCCAAAGGCUUCGGCUUCAUUACUCCGGAAGAUGGUAGCAAGGACGUUUUCGUUCACUUCUCUGCCAUCGCUAGCAAUGGUUUCAAAACUCUUGCUGAAGGCCAGCGCGUAGAAUUUGAAAUCACGCAAGGUGCCAAAGGCCCAUCUGCUGCUAACGUUAUCGCUAUCUAAUGCUACAGCCGAAAUUCUUAAAACCCGCUCACUGAGCGGGUUUUUUAU